AACAGAUUGAACAUAAGCCGUGUUUGAUAAAAAUGACGCGGACUUGAGGAUUAUUACAAAUUUUGAAUCGCGAAAUAAAAUGCAUAUGCUGUGUGAGACUAGUGGAUAAUCAAAAGCAACAAUUCGAAGGUAUAUUUCAGCAGCCACUUUCACACGCAGAAUUCGACUGCAUCUUAAUCAACAGAUUUCGCAGUAAAGUGAGGUUUAAAGAACGAAACAUGUACCAAUGCUAUCCGACAAGGGGCAAAAAGAGACUACUUGAUGUAUGACCUCCUUGACCAGGUGAACUGGCGAACUCCGUGGGAGACAGGUAUUGGGCAAC